UUAUAUUACAAAAUAUAAAAAAAAUAAAAAUUUACUCUCCAGCUCUAAACAACGCAAUUAGGGCUUUUUCAGCAGUACCAUCGCCGGUGCUACAACACCUCCACCGUCCAGCUUCAACUGCCCGCGAUUGCUGCGACUGCACCGCGACCUUUACCACCGUGCCGAGAGUGCUGCCGCCGACGCACAAUCGCUUCCACCGACGCACAAUCGCUUCCACCGACUCACAUCCGCUUCCACCGUCGCACAUCCGCUUCCAUGGUCGCACAACCGCUUCCGACGCUUCCAUGGUACCAUUACGAAUUCGAGGCAUAAAUUGGAAUUAGGUAUGACAUAAUUACAUAUACAUCUCUUCCAAUUACGCUUGGUGUUAUUUUUUGGCUUGAUUGGGUUUUGAUAUAGUGGGUUUUCUACAAAUUAGCUAUGUAAUUCAUAUGGUUCAGAAAAAUCAAAAAAACUGUAGUGAAAAUGCUUGUGAAUUUAUACUAAUAAGUCAGAUUAUAUAUAAAUCUCUAAAUAAGUUUUUAAUUCUAAUGCUGAUAUUUGAUAGUACAAUCUGCCAGCAUAUGAUUAUAUUUAAUUUAUUCAUAUGGUACUGUUGUAGAACCAUUAGAUAUUUAGAGGUAGAUAUUAAAGCAUAGUUAUAUAUAUGACCAAAUAAAUCACAAUUGAAUCAUUUUAUAUUGUUUUUUUAAUAGUUAGAUUGUCCACUUUCUAACAUUUUGAUUACAAAUUUUGCAGUUAUUUUUCAAUAUCAGCGAGGUUAAAACAGUUUUCCAGAAUCAACUCAAGGAUAUCAAGAAUCAACUCAAGCCAUCUUUCGAGCUUUUGAAAAAUGGUGAGCUAGCAUUGAUGUAGAACCAUUUCCAAGGGUAAGGCUGUUAAUUGUUAUCAAAGAUAAGGCAGUAACCCAUUCCGAACUGAGGUUAAAUUCUUAGGUCAGCUUCAACACGAGAACUUGGUUAAGCUGAUCGGGAAUUGAUUUGCUUUCGCCUGUACUGGAGGAGUACAGCCGAUGGCAUGGUGUACGAGAAUGCAGAUAACGAUUGAUAUUGCGAGAGGAUUGACGUUCUUCCAUAGUUUAAAUGCCAACAUAAUUUACCGCGAUUUAAAGGCUUCCAAUAUUCUAAUUGAUUCGGUACGUUUAAAAGUACUUAAAUUUUUUUGAAUAUGGUGUGUCAUUAGUGAGUUUGAUUCGUGUAGGUAGUGACAUUCUUGAAUCUCUGCAGAAGUUUCGUGCGAAGCUUUCGGAUUUCGGGCUCGCAAGAAACGCCAUCAUCAUCUCAUUCUCAUAUUCCACUUAAUGGUGAUGCUGGAUUUAUGGUGUCUGAUAGUGACGCAGAUGAGGCUUCAUAGACGCCACCUGGAAUGAGUGAGAAAACAACAAAAAAGGGUCGAGGUAGAACAAAAAUGAUCAAGUCAUGGGGUGAUGAAAAUUUUGAGGUUCAGAUUAAUGACCUUAAUCAAGCCAUAGGAGAGAAUGCAGCAAAACUCUCGAGGCAAAUGGGUUGUGUAGCAAAGAAUGGCAGUCGAUUUCCUCUUACGGUUACAGAUUCGAGGAAAAUUGACAAAUCGAGCAAGGAAAUAACAUGGUUGGAGAACAAGGCAAACUUCUCGCUUGAAGAUAAUUUAAAAAAAUCAGUUCUUAAAGAAGUUGGGCGUAAUGUGGAAGAAUCGGAAAUCAGAGGUAAAAUUUUAUUAUUCUAUGCAUGAGACGGAUGUCGACCGAUUGACUAAUUGUCCUGACCUUGUGGAAAAAGACCAAUGGCCUACUUUAGUUCAUUAUUGGAGUUCUAGUAGUGUAAAACGUGACUUUAGUCUGGUUCGAAUAUGACUAUUGUUGAUUCACUCGAUUAGUGAUUUAUUAAUUUCUCGUAUGUUACCCGAAUCACCAAUACGAGCUUUUUUCACAAAGAAUGGAAGGGCCUCCAUUGUACAACCAAAGAAGAGGUAGCUAAGUUUCUCGUUGUAUUAUACAGAAGAAUGAAACUUUAUUUUAUCUAGUUCGAUAUUUGUUUUUUUUCUUCA